GAUGAACGCUGGCGGCGUGCUUAACACAUGCAAGUCGAACGGAAAGGCUCCUGCUUGCAGGGGUACUCGAGUGGCGAACGGGUGAGUAACACGUGGGUGAUCUGCCCUGCACUUCGGGAUAAGCUUGGGAAACUGGGUCUAAUACCGGAUAGGACCGCAUUUUGGAUGGUGUGGUGGAAAGUUUUUUCGGUGUGGGAUGAGCUCGCGGCCUAUCAGCUUGUUGGUGGGGUAAUGGCCUACCAAGGCGUCGACGGGUAGCCGGCCUGAGAGGGUGUACGGCCACAGGGGGGGAGAAAUGCGCACAGGCCUCAAAGGGGGGGCAAGGGUGGGGAUGAGGGGACAUGGGGCGAAAGCCUAAUGCAGCUCCACCGGGUGGGGGAGGAGGACUUUGGGGUUGAAAACACGUUUAGCUAGAAAGAAGGAGUAAUGGAGGUCCCUGGGGGGGGAGCCAGCGCCGACCUCAGU
rnacentral:rRNA from 1 species